rnacentral:lncRNA from 1 species
CAUCAUUUUUCAGAACCGGGCCCGUCCCGGGUGGGACGGGCCGGUUCACGGGCCCGGGCCGGUUCACUUGGUCAACGGGCCGGUUUGGGCCGUCAACGGGCCGGUUCGGACCGGUUCCGGGCCCAAAACCGGCCCGUGGCCGAGUCUAGCAGCAGUCAUCGACCUUUCUUUCUCCCCACCACCACCAGCGCCUUCUCCGACGACCACGACCACCAGUGCCUCCCGAUUCUCCGACGACCACCACCACUAGCGCAUCUCGGCUCUCCGACGGCCACCACCACCACCAGCGCCUCCCAAUUCUCUGACGACCACCACCACUUGCGCCUCCCGAUUCUCCAACCACCACCAUCGCCAC